AUUGAACGCUGGCGGCAGGCCUAACACAUGCAAGUCGAGCGGAUGAAGGGAGCUUGCUCCUGGAUUCAGCGGCGGACGGGUGAGUAAUGCCUAGGAAUCUGCCUGGUAGUGGGGGAUAACGUCCGGAAACGGGCGCUAAUACCUCAUACGUCCUGAGGGAGAAAGUGGGGGAUCUUCGGACCUCACGCUAUCAGAUGAGCCUAGGUCGGAUUAGCUAGUUGGUGGGGUAAAGGCCUACCAAGGCGACGAUCCGUAACUGGUCUGAGAGGAUGAUCAGUCACACUGGAACUGAGACACGGUCCAGACUCCUGCGGGAGGCAGCAGUGGGGAAUAUUGGACAAUGGGCGAAAGCCUGAUCCAGCCAUGCCGCGUGUGUGAAGAAGGUCUUCGGAUUGUAAAGCACUUUAAGUUGGGAGGAAGGGCAGUAAGUUAAUACCUUGCUGUUUUGACGUUACCAACAGAAUAAGCACCGGCUAACUUCGUG
rnacentral:rRNA from 1 species